UACGGGGGGAGCAAGCGUUGUUCGGAUUUACUGGGCGUAAAGGGCGCGUAGGCGGCGCAACAAGUCACUUGUGAAAUCUCCGGGCUUAACCCGGAGCGGCCAAGUGAUACUGUCGUGCUAGAGUGCGGAAGGGGCUACUGGAAUUCUCGGUGGUAGCGGUGAAAUGCGCAGAUAUCAGGAGGAACACCGGUGGCGAAGGCGGAUCUCUGGGCCUUACCUGACGCUGGAGGCGCGAAAGCUAGGGGAGCAAACAGG
rnacentral:rRNA from 1 species